GAUGAACGCUAGCGGCAGGCUUAAUACAUGCAAGUCGAGGGGUAGCAAGAUUGUAGCAAUACAAUUGUUGACGACCGGCAAACGGGUGCGGAACACGUACACAACCUUCCUACAAGUGGGGAAUAGCCCAGAGAAAUUUGGAUCAAUACCCCGUAACAUAGCGAUGUGGCAUCACAUUGCUAUUAUAGCUUCGGCGCUUGUUGAUGGGUGUGCGGCUGAUUAGAUAGUUGGCGGGGUAACGGCCCACCAAGUCUACGAUCAGUAGCUGAUGUGAGGGCAUGAUCAGCCACACGGGAACUGGGACACGGGCCCGACUCCUACGGGAGGCAGCAGUAAGGAAUAUUGGACAAUGGACGCAAGUCUGAUCCAGCCAUGCCGCGUGAAGGAUUAAGGUCCUCUGGAUUGUAAACUUCUUUUAUAAGGGACGAAAAAAGGUCUUUCUAGAUCGUCUGACGGUACCUUAUGAAUAAGCACCGGCUAACUCCGUGCCAGCCGCCGCGGUAAUAC
rnacentral:rRNA from 1 species